rnacentral:tRNA from 1 species
UCGACGUCCAGCUCGGCGCCGAGCUUGCGCAUCGAAAGCGCGGCGGCGCCGUGCCGGUCGGCGAAGUCGAGC